CCUACGGGAGGCAGCAGUGAGGAAUAUUGGUCAAUGGCCGGAAGGCUGAACCAGCCAUGCCGCGUGAAGGUCAGUGCCCUAUGGGCGUUAAACUUCUUUUGUGCGGGAGCAAUAAUGGUCACGUGUGGCCAGACGAGAGUACCGUACGAAUAAGCAUCGGCUAACUCCGUGCCAGCAGCCGCGGUAAUACGGGGGAUACAAGCGUUAUCCGGAUUUAUUGGGGUUAAAGGGUGCGUAGGCUGUGAGGUAAGUCAGCGGUGAAAUGCCCCCGCUCAACGGGGUGAAGUGCCAUUGAUACUGCCUUGCUGGAAUGCGGAUGCCGUGGGAGGAAUGUGUGGUGUAGCGGUGAAAUGCAUAGAUAUCACACAGAACACCGAUUGCGAAGGCAUCUCACGAAUCCGCGAUUGACGCUGAUGCACGAAAGCGUGGGUAUCAAACAGGAUUAGAUACCCGUGUAGUC
rnacentral:rRNA from 1 species